GUUCCGACCUGCAUGAAAGGCGUAACGACAGGAGCACUGUCUCAACCACCGACCCGGUGAAAUUGUAGUCGUGGUGAAGAUGCCACGUACCCGCGGUUAGACGGAAAGACCCCGUGAACCUUUACUGUAGGCUGAUAUUGGGUUGAGGUAUGUUUUGUGUAGGAUAGCUGGGAGGCUAUGAAUUCGGCACGCCAGUGUCGUUGGAGCCAAUCUUGAAAUACCAGCCUGGAUAUGCUUUAAUUCUAACCCCGAUUCUGUGAAACCAGACGGGGAACAGUGUCAGUUGGGCAGUUUGACUGGGGCGGUCUCCUCCCAAAGAGU
rnacentral:rRNA from 1 species